rnacentral:tRNA from 1 species
CGGGGAGUAGCGCAGCCUGGUUAGCGCGCGGCAAUCGGGGUGCCGAGGUCCCGGGUUCAAAUCCCGGCUCCCCGACCA